rnacentral:rRNA from 1 species
AGAGUUUGAUCAUGGCUCAGGACGAACGCUGGCGGCGUGCCUAAUACAUGCAAGUAGAACGCUGAAGAGAGGAGCUUGCUCUUCUUGGAUGAGUUGCGAACGGGUGAGUAACGCGUAGGUAACCUGCCUGGUAGCGGGGGAUAACUAUUGGAAACGAUAGCUAAUACCGCAUAAAAUUGAUUAUUGCAUGAUAAUUAAUUGAAAGAUGCAAUUGCAUCACUACCAGAUGGACCUGCGUUGUAUUAGCUAGUUGGUGAGGUAACGGCUCACCAAGGCGACGAUACAUAGCCGACCUGAGAGGGUGAUCGGCCACACUGGGACUGAGACACGGCCCAGACUCCUACGGGAGGCAGCAGUAGGGAAUCUUCGGCAAUGGGGGGAACCCUGACCGAGCAACGCCGCGUGAGUGAAGAAGGUUUUCGGAUCGUAAAGCUCUGUUGUAAGAGAAGAACGGGUGUGAGAGUGGAAAGUUCACACUGUGACGGUAUCUUACCAGAAAGGGACGGCUAACUACGUGCCAGCAGCCGCGGUAAUACGUAGGUCCCGAGCGUUGUCCGGAUUUAUUGGGCGUAAAGCGAGCGCAGGCGGUUAGAUAAGUCUGAAGUUAAAGGCUGUGGCUUAACCAUAGUAUGCUUUGGAAACUGUUUAACUUGAGUGCAGAAGGGGAGAGUGGAAUUCCAUGUGUAGCGGUGAAAUGCGUAGAUAUAUGGAGGAACACCGGUGGCGAAAGCGGCUCUCUGGUCUGUAACUGACGCUGAGGCUCGAAAGCGUGGGGAGCAAACAGGAUUAGAUACCCCGGUAGUCCAA